GAUGAACGCUGGCGGCGUGCCUAACACAUGCAAGUCGAACGGAGGUUACAGACGGAAGUUUUCGGAUGGAAGACUGUAAUUCUUAGUGGCGGACGGGUGAGUAACGCGUGGGCAACCUGCCCUAUACAGGGGGAUAGCAGCUGGAAACGGCUGGUAAGACCGCAUAAGUCGGCGAGACCGCAUGGUUUUGCCGGGAAAUGAGCAAUCAGGUAUAGGAUGGGCCCGCGUCCGAUUAGCCAGUUGGCAGGGUAAAAGCCUACCAAAGCAACGAUCGGUAGCCGGACUGAGAGGUCGGACGGCCACAUUGGGACUGAGACACGGCCCAAACUCCUACGGGAGGCAGCAGUGGGGGAUAUUGCACAAUGGAGGAAACUCUGAUGCAGCGACGCCGCGUGAGUGAAGAAGUAUUUCGGUAUGUAAAGCUCUAUCAGCAGGGAAGAUGAUGACGGACCUGA
rnacentral:rRNA from 1 species